CAGUCGAGCGGACUUACUUUGAGCUUGCUUUAAAGAAGUUAGCGGCGGACGGGUGAGUAACACGUGGGCAACCUGCCUGUAAGACUGGGAUAACUUCGGGAAACCGGAGCUAAUACCGGAUAAUAUAAAAGACCUCCUGGUCUUCUAUUGAAAGUUGGUUUCGGCUAACACUUACAGAUGGGCCCGCGGCGCAUUAGCUAGUUGGUGAGGUAACGGCUCACCAAGGCGACGAUGCGUAGCCGACCUGAGAGGGUGAUCGGCCACACUGGGACUGAGACACGGCCCAGACUCCUACGGGAGGCAGCAGUAGGGAAUCUUCCACAAUGGACGAAAGUCUGAUGGAGCAACGCCGCGUGAGCGAUGAAGGCCUUCGGGUCGUAAAGCUCUGUUGUUAGGGAAGAACAAGUACCGGAGUAACUGCCGGUACCUUGACGGUACCUAACCAGAAAGCCACGGCUAACUACGUGCCAGCAGCCGCGGUAAUACGUAGGUGGCAAGCGUUGUCCGGAAUUAUUGGGCGUAAAGCGCGCGCAGGCGGUUUCUUAAGUCUGAUGUGAAAGCCCACGGCUCACCCGUGGAGG
rnacentral:rRNA from 2 species